UUUUCGGAUGAUGAGACCGGCGCACGGGUGCGUAACGCGUAUGCAAUCUACCUUUCACAAAGGGAUAGCCCAGAGAAAUUUGGAUUAAUACCUUAUAGUAUAGCAGUCUCGCAUGAGACCACUAUUAAAGAUUUAUCGGUGAAAGAUGAGCAUGCGUCCCAUUAGCUAGUUGGUAUGGUAACGGCAUACCAAGGCUACGAUGGGUAGGGGUCCUGAGAGGGAGAUCCCCCACACUGGUACUGAGACACGGACCAGACUCCUACGGGAGGCAGCAGUGAGGAAUAUUGGACAAUGGGCGCAAGCCUGAUCCAGCCAUGCCGCGUGCAGGAUGACGGUCCUAUGGAUUGUAAACUGCUUUUAUACGAGAAGAAACACUCCUUC
rnacentral:rRNA from 1 species